rnacentral:rRNA from 1 species
UGGGGAAUAUUGGGCAAUGGGCGCAAGCCUGACCCAGCAACGCCGCGUGAAGGAAGAAGGCUUUCGGGUUGUAAACUUCUUUUGUCAGGGAAGAGUAGAAGACGGUACCUGACGAAUAAGCCACGGCUAACUACGUGCC